rnacentral:rRNA from 1 species
CAGUCGCCGCGGGAAUACGGAGGGUGCAAGCGUUAAUCGGAAUUACUGGGCGUAAAGCGCACGCAGGCGGUCUGACAAGUCAGAUGUGAAAUCCCCGGGCUUAACCUGGGAACUGCAUUUGAAACUGUCAGGCUGGAGUCUUGUAGAGGGGGGUGGAAUUCCAGGUGUAGCGGUGAAUUGCGUAGAGAUCUGGAGGAAUACCGGUGGCGAAGGCGGCCCCCUGGACAAAGACUGACGCUCAGGUGCGAAAGCGUGGGGAGCAAACAGGAUUAGAUACCCCGGUAGUCCCUGUCUCUUAUAC